rnacentral:lncRNA from 1 species
CUGAAGGUGCAGCAGCAAAGCCAGUGGUGGUGCUCAGAAGGGGACAGAGUCUUCCAGAUGGGUCUGACCAGUACUGCCAGGACAAUUCAACCUCUUCCUUCUCCUUAACACCCUCCACAAAGGCAGGGGACCAGGAGGCUGCCUGCGGUGUUCCAAGCAUCCUGCUUCUGAUUUCCCUGGAUCUGAGGGGCUGAAACUCACAGGAGGGGGUGUGAAGAGGGGCCGAGAAGGAGGUACAGGACCUGUGCUGAUUUCUCAUAGAGCACUGAGGACUGAAGAGAUAUGCAAUAAAGACUUGUCAAA